GACGAACGCUGGCGGCGUGCCUAAUACAUGCAAGUCGAGCGGGCCUCCGGAGGUGCUUGCACCUCCGGACGACCAGCGGCGGACGGGUGAGUAACACGUGGGCAACCUGCCUUUGAGGCCGGGAUAACACCGGGAAACCGGUGCUAAUACCGGAUACGUCCUCUUUCGCGCCUGCGAGAGGGGAGAAAGACGGUCUUUAAGGCCGUCGCUCAAAGAGGGGCCCGCGGCGCAUUAGCUGGUUGGUGGGGCAAGGGCCUACCAAGGCGACGAUGCUGUGCAGACCUGAGAGGGUGAUCGGCCACACUGGGACUGAGACACGGCCCAGACUCCUGCGGGAGGCAGCAGUAGGGAAUCAUCCGCAAUGGGCGAAAGCCUGACGGUGCAACGCCGCGUGAGUGAGGAAGGUGUUCGGAUCGUAAAGCUCUGUUGUGAGGGAAGAACAGCAUCCGGAGGAAAUGCCGGAGGUUUGCCGGUACCUCACCAGAAAGCCCCGGCUAACUACGUGCCAGCCGCCGCGGUAAGAC
rnacentral:rRNA from 1 species